rnacentral:tRNA from 1 species
GCUCGCGUGGUCCAAGGCAUGAUGACGCUUCGGUCCUAACCUUGUUCACCAGAUCAUGAGAUCCGGGUUGGAUUCCCGGCGCGAGUUCCA